rnacentral:tRNA from 1 species
UGGAAUGUAGCUCAAUGGUAGAGUACAUAUUUAGUAUGCACGAGGCCCUAGGUUCAAUUCCCAGCAGUCCCC